rnacentral:miRNA from 1 species
UAGGAGCCGGCUCAGUGGUCU